GACGAACGCUGGCGGCGUGCUUAACACAUGCAAGUCGAACGGUAAGGCCCUUCGGGGUACACGAGUGGCGAACGGGUGAGUAACACGUGGGUGAUCUGCCCUGCACUUCGGGAGAAGCCUGGGAAACUGGGUCUAAUACCGGAUAGUACCACUUCCUGCAUGAGCGGGGGUGGAAAGCUUUUGCGGUGUGGGAUGGGCCCGCGGCCUGUCAGCGUGUUGGUGGGGUGAUGGCCUACCAAGGAGACGACGGGUAGCCGGCCUGAGAGGGUGACCGGCCACACUGGGACGGAGAUACGGCCCAGACUCCUACGGGAGGCAGCAGUGGGGAAUAUUGCACAAUGGGCGCAAGCCUGAUGCAGCGACGCCGCGUGAGGGAUGACGGCCUUCGGGUUGUAAACCUCUUUCAGCACCGACGAAGCGCAAGUGACGGUAGGUGCAGAAGAAGGACCGGCCAACUACGUGCCAGCCGCCGCCGUAA
rnacentral:rRNA from 1 species